CCCUUAGAUGUUCUGGGCCGCACGCGCGCUACACUGAUGCAUUCAACGAGUCCAACCUUGGCCGAGAGGUCCGGGUAAUCUUUGAAACUGCAUCGUGAUGGGGCUAGAUUAUUGCAAUUAUUAAUCUUCAACGAGGAAUGCCUAGUAAGCGUGAUUCAUCAAAUCGCGUUGAUUACGUCCCUGCCCUUUGUACACACCGCCCGUCGCUCCUACCGAUUGAGUGUGUUGGUGAGGAGUUUGGAUUGGCCUCGGAAGGUGGUUCGCCACCGUCCGUAGCUGAGAAGUUCUCCAAACCGCCCCACUUAGAGGAAGGAGAAGUCGUAACA
rnacentral:rRNA from 1 species